rnacentral:rRNA from 1 species
AUUGAACGCUGGCGGCAGGCCUAACACAUGCAAGUCGAGCGGAUGAAGGGAGCUUGCUCCUGGAUUCAGCGGCGGACGGGUGAGUAAUGCCUAGGAAUCUGCCUGGUAGUGGGGGAUAACGUCCGGAAACGGGCGCUAAUACCGCAUACGUCCUGAGGGAGAAAGUGGGGGAUCUUCGGACCUCACGCUAUCAGAUGAGCCUAGGUCGGAUUAGCUAGUUGGUGGGGUAAAGGCCUACCAAGGCGACGAUCCGUAACUGGUCUGAGAGGAUGAUCAGUCACACUGGAACUGAGACACGGUCCAGACUCCUACGGGAGGCAGCAGUGGGGAAUAUUGGACAAUGGGCGAAAGCCUGAUCCAGCCAUGCCGCGUGUGUGAAGAAGGUCUUCGGAUUGUAAAGCACUUUAAGUUGGGAGGAAGGGAAGUAAGUUAAUACCUUGCUGUUUUGACGUUACCAACAGAAUAAGCGCCGGCUAACUUCGUGC